UACGUAGGGGGCUAGCGUUGUCCGGAAUCAUUGGGCGUAAAGCGCGUGUAGGCGGUCCGGUAAGUCCGCUGUGAAAGUCGGGGGCUCAACCCUCGGAUGCCGGUGGAUACUGUCGGGCUUGAGUACGGAAGAGGCGAGUGGAAUUCCUGGUGUAGCGGUGAAAUGCGCAGAUAUCAGGAGGAACACCAAUUGCGAAGGCAGCUCGCUGGACGUUACUGACGCUGAGACGCGAAAGCGUGGGAGCAAACAGG
rnacentral:rRNA from 1 species